CUUUGGAAGCCAGUAAGAGCCUGCUCUGGUCUUCCAGGGAACCAGGCAGGGUCACCAAUCAAGGGUCAGCACAGCAGUGUCCCUAAUUUCCAGGGAUGUCCCUGAUUUAGAGAAUCCGCCCCAGUUUCUGAUUUGAUCCUAGAAUGUCCAUCUUUUCCUUAGGGUGUCCCUAUUUUCAUUGGAGAAAUUUUGGGGGCAUGGAAUUAUCAGCCCCCCGAGAUGUCUAAAGACAAUCCUGUAUAGGGAGGUUUUUAAAAAAUGUUUAAUGAUUUAUUAUGUUUUUAUAUAUGCUGGAAGCUGCCCAGAGUGGCUAGGGCAACCCAGUAAGAUGUGUGGGGUAUAAAUGGUAAAGUUAUCAUUAUGAAAUGAGACAUCCCUAUUUUCAUCAGAGAAAUGUUGGCGGGUAUGGCAUAGUCAUGUGUCAAGGGGGUCACCCCCCACAAGGGACCUGAUGACAAUAGCUCCCUGGAGCUGCUGCAGUGAAAAAGAGACUAAUGGUGUUGAAAGGACUAUGGGAGUUCUUGCCCAAGGGCUCUCCUAAACCUGGAGCCAAGAAGGAUUACAGACAAAGAGAAGCUUGAUUCCAAACAUCCUCUGAGCAAGUAAUUCUAGUUUGGCCUUAGAAAGUAGGAAAAUAUAGACCUCUGCUCUGGAUUUGCCUAUCUUCUGAGGCCCAUUUAGAUACUUGAUUCUGCACAUUCUCUUACUAAGCAAGUUUCUCUUUGUCCACCAUGGUCCACUGGAGAAGCAGAGCAGACUCCAUUUUACUGGCUGCCAAUACAAGCAACCGUGGCUGGAAAACACUUCCAGCAUUCACCUUACCUUGUGCACUCCUCAUGACCCCAGAGGCCAAUACAGGCAGAAGGAGACUUCUUAAUGAUAAAACAUGAGAAAAUGAUCAAAUGUGAAUUGCCCCAAGAAACUGCAGUAAACGACCAAAAUAAAUGAACGAAUGAGGGCACAUAUUUCCUGCUCGAUGCAGCACAACACCAGAACACAGGGAAACCACAAACCAGCUUACUCAAUAGCAUAUCAGGUAAAAGAACAGAAAUCUCUACAGACCCACUUUGAUUUCUAUAGCACUAGCAAUGUACAUAGUGCUUUACGGUAUCCCCAGUUGGGGAGACAGCUGAAGACAGAGAAGGGGAAAUAAUAAGAAGAGUAAGUACAAAUGAAGUUCCUUAAACUGAAGCUUAGAGACAGUAUUGGAGGACUAAGGGGGUUCAGCCAAAGCUCCAGGGAAGGGAUCUGAAAGGAGGGAAGUAGUGGGUGGGGGGAGAGAGAGAGCAGGCACUCUGAAACUAGUUUGGGGAAUCAAAGUAACUGAGGGAGGAUUAGGUAAAGGUAAAGGGACCCCUGACCAUUAGAUCCAGUCAUGGCCGACUCUGGGGUUGCAGCGCUCAUCUUGCUUUAUUGGCUGAGGGAGCAGGUGUACAGCUUCCGGGUCAUGUGGCCAGCAUGACUAAGCCGCUUCUGGCGAACUAGAGCAGCACACGGAAACGCCGUUUACCUUCCCGCUGGAGCGGUACCUAUUUAUCUACUUGCACUUUGACGUGCUUUCGAACUGCUAGGUUGGCAGGAACAAUGAAAUUCAAAGACGCCUGCAUAACCUUGCUAGCUUGUGAAAUGAGUGCAAUUGUGCGGUAGUUGGAGCAUUCUUUGGCACUGCCCUUCUUUGGGAUUGGGAUGUAGACUGAUCUUCUCCAAUCCUCUGGCCACUGCUGAGUUUUCCAAACUUGCUGGCAUAUUGAGAGUAGCACCUUAACAGCAUCAUCUUUUAAAAUUUUAAAUAGUUCAGCUGGCAUAUCAUCACUUCCACUGGCUUUGUUAUUAGCAGUGCUUUCUAAGGCCCAUUUGACUUCACUCUCCAGAAUGUCUGGCUCAAGGCCAGCAACCACACUACCUGGGGUGUACGAGACCUCCAUAUCUUUCCGGUAUAAUUCUUCUGUGUGUUCUUGCCACCUCUUCUUGAUGUCUUCUGCUUCUGUUAGGUCCUUUCCACUUUUGUCCUUUAUUAUGGUAAUCUUUGUACGAAAUGUUCCUUUCAUAUCUCUAAUUUUCUUGAACAGAUCUCUAGUUUUUCCCAUUCUGUUGUUUUCCUCUAUUUCUUUGCAUUGCUCAUUUAAGAAGGCCCUCUUGCCUCUCCUUGCUAUUUUUUAGAAAUCUACAUUCGAUUUCCUGUAUCUUUCACUAUCGCCCUCACAUUUUGCUUGCCUUCUCUCCCCCGCUAUUUGUAAGGCCUCAUUGGACAGCCACUUUGCUUUCUUGCAUUCCUUUUCACUGGGAUGGUUUUCGUUGCUGCCUCCUGUAUAAUGUUACAAUAGGGUUACCAGACGUCCCCAGUUUCCGGGGACAGUCCCCAGAUUUGCAAAUCUGUCCCUGGACAAAUUCCAUCCCCGGAAUGUCCCCAGAUUUGCAAAUCUGUCCCCGGGAAACAUGGCAGCAGCAGUCUUAGCAGUUGGCUCUGCUGGCUUCAGGAGCUGCUCACUGCUGUGGCGCCCACCAUUUUCCCUGUGCCACGGCAGUGAGCAGCAAGCAGCUCCUGAAGCCAGCCAGAGCCAACUGCACUACCAGACUGGCCCUUCCUGGGCAACGGCCGCCCGCCUGUGACCUUCGAGCCUCCCCUGAUCUGUCAAAACAAAGGGGGAAGGGGGAAGGAGAUUGGGGAAGGCUCGGGAGUCAUGGGCAGGCGGCGUGCUGUUGCCCAGUUUUUUAAAAAAACUCUGUGCAUUUACGUUUCACAGGGUGCAAAAGAAGGCCUUUGCACCUUUAUAAAAUAUGCAUGUGUGCUUGGGCUCAGGGUCUUUUGCCUCACCAUCCCCACUACCGACUCCCUGUUGCUACUCUGCUUCAAAAAAAAAAAAAAGUGUUCCCGGAUUCAUUAAAAAAAAUCUGGUAACCAUAUGUUACGAGCCUCCAUCCAUAGUUCUUCAGGCACUCUGUCCACCAAAUCUAAAUCCAACAACAUAUGGAUGGCCAAAGGCUCCUUAUAUCCCUGUGCAGUAUGAAGCAACUAUUUCUGCCACACUUGGUGCAAACAGAAUAUUUUUCUCCCAAGACAAAUUGCAAAGCAGGAGUAUGGUUUUUGUUGGGACUCUGACAGCAGGAAGAACCCUCACCCCUCUACCCACGUACCAUGGCCCCAAUCCAGAUGAGGCUCGGCAUGAUAAUGGUUCUUAAAACUUCACUUUGUAAUCUGUCUCUUUUUCUGUACACUGUGAAGUACCGUAUUUUUUGCUCUAUAAGACUCACUUUUUCCUCCUAAAAAGUAAGGGGAAAUGUGUGUGCGUCUUAUGGAGCAAAUGCAGGCUGCGCAGCUAUUCCAGAAGCCAGAAUAGCAAGUGAAAGCAGCAAUCCCUCUUGUUGUUCUAGCUUCUGAGAUUCAGAAUAUUUUUUUUCUUGUUUUCCUCCUCCAAAAACUAGGUGCGUCUUAUGGUCUGGUGCGUCUUAUAGAGCGAAAAAUACGGUAUAUUUAAAUAUGUGAGUGGGGUCAGCCAUCUUUUUUUGUGACCUACAAUGCCCACUGGAAUGCUGCUGUGUCAUGACAUAUAGGUAAGUACGCUGGCUGCAAUGGAUUGAAUUCCACCCACUCCUUCACAGUAGCAGAAACACUUUAGCCUAGUUGCAGUUUUAACUGUCUCCUGGACUCCUUAUAUAGAUACAAGAAAACAGAUUUGCAUAAACAUCUUCACGCAUGACCUAUAAUUUAACCUCAUUUUCCUUCUCACAGCAAUGGGUUUGCAUCCCAGUCUUCCUGGAAAUCAAGACAUAGGUAGGUUGUUCCCUGCCCCCCCCCCCAUUUAAAUACUUGAGCUUUGCUUAGAGAUGUUCAGGUUAAUAUGUACAACUCGGUAUGAAAGAAAAAAAAAACCUUAUUAACUAUGUUAAAUAACCAGAAGGUUAUUUUAAAAGUUCAAUUCACUGUGCCUGGUUUUAUAACACAGAAAAGUUAGCCAGUGAAAUGGGUGGUAUAUAAAUUUAAUAAAUAAUACUAAAUAAUAUCAUGGGUGAAGAAUGUUGGAAUAAAUACAGGAUAAGCUGGUAAAGGGACACUCAACUCUUUCACGCACCACUACAAGUGUGUACUGAGUAAAUGCAAGAAGCAUCACUUCUGUAUUUGACUGUGGAUAUUUGGUUUUUUGCAGGUGUGGAGAACCUCUGGCCUUCCAGAUGUUUCUGGACUACAGUUCCCAUCAUCUAUAACAGUCGGCGAAGCUGGUUGGGGCUGAUUUGAGCUGCCGUCUAACAGUACCUAGGUCACAGGUUCCUCACCUCUGGUGUACUGCUCACCAGCAAACCAUUAGUCUCCUAUAUAAUGUGCACUCUCAAGUACUAAGAUAAUUGUAGUGAAAUACUAGAACUAUUGACCCAACUUAGCCAAAGUGAAGAGAGCAGUUAAACCAAACUAGUAUUAACUGAAGAUGCUUAUCCAUAGGCUUGAUUCUCUCACCAAAAUAAAUGGGACGUAUAGGUGCUCAACUUUAGUUGGACUGCUCUCAUUAUUUCCAGAAGGAAUACAACAAACACUAUAGCUGCAUACAGCUAUACAGCUGCAUACAGCUGUGUUAGUUGCCCAUACGCAACUAACACAGUAUGGGGAGAGUGGAAACCCACUCCCAUUGCCCUGCCAUUCCAGGGAUUCACACUUUGCAGGGAAGUUCUAAACAGGGGAGCACCAGAAUACAGUGUAUUAGUACUGAACACCCAAAUAAGAAACAAGAGGUUAUGAGGCAAGAUAUAUUAAAUAGAAAAUAAUUUAGCGCACACAUGCUUGGAGGGUGGGUGGGUGAUAAUAUCUAAAUUUUAGUUCCAAGUACACAAUAGUAAACAGGGAUUCAUAAAAAUUAAAACACUUCUAAAAAUUAUACAAGAA